ensembl:lncRNA
AACCAAAAAAGGGCAAAUGUAAAUAUUAAAUCCUGAAUUUCUGGUUAUGCAUUGACCUUUUAAAAAUAUAACCUAUGUUAGGACUUUUGAUUCGUAUGUUAGUUUAUCAGAUGGCUUCGUACUAUGCAAUCCCUUAGGAUAAGACUAAAAGAACUUAAUAACCUGUAAUACACAGACAUUGUAUUCAGAAGAAAUGUAGACAUCUCUGGGCACACCUGCUGAGUGUCAGCCCUAACAAAGAGCCAUCUUUCCAGAAAGUCUAGAAAUAAAGUUGUGUGGAAGCUGUCAGUUUCCCUUGGUCAUUCUUUUUGUUACAGAUACGUAUCAGUAUAGCAGGGAUGCAAUUUGGAUCAGCAAAGAAGUCAAGCCCUGGAUUCAUGUUCUGUAUUCAUUCAAGCCCCAUCCAUUGUCCAUAAAUUCCUGACCUUCAUCUCCAAGUGGUCCAAGCAAGAUCAUGAGAAGGCUCAGUGCACAUUUGUCCCUGUGGCCAGAAAAAUGAGUCAAUCUUCAUGGAUCACAACCACAGAUAUGAAGGGCAGAUCAUUAUUUAUGUAGUAAGUUUGUGAUUAUCUACUUUGGCCCUCAUUUCAGCAGAAGAUAUUUUAACCUAUUGCUUGAUGAUGCUGCCGUUUUUAGGAAUUCUUUUGCAAUGAGCUCACUUCUAUUUUAUCUCACUGGAAACAAUAAGGUUUAUGAGAAUUUUCACAAUAUCAUGGAUCUAUAUGCAUUCAUUUUUGUCCUUAUUACUGCAGAAACUGUCAGCAUUGAGGCUCUCAUCCAACCUUUGAGAACAUAUGUUUGCAGGCAUAUUAAAUAUGAAGAUCCCGAUAUUUUCUUUUAAAGCAGUCAUAGAUGUUUGGAUUGUUCAGAUUUAAUUGUAAGCUUUUCUUUUCACAAGAAAUUCUCAUUAAAGAAAUUUUGUUCUAUACUUUCCCCAUGACAGAGGAGAAAACAAAUCAUUAUAAACCCAGGAUGAAAUGCCCUCCCAAAAACAUAGAAAAAAAGUACAAAAAUCCUGGAAAUAAGACAAUUUUUAGGGUAGUAUAAAAACAACUUUUUUUAAAGAUUUUAUUUAUUUAUUUGAGAGGUAGAGUUAUAGACAGUGAGAGGGAGAGACAGAGAGAGAGGUCUUCCGCCCAUUGGUUCACUCCCCAAACGGCUGCAACGGCUGGAGCUGUGCUCAUCUGAAGCCAGAAGCCAGGCAUUUCUUCCCGGUCUCCCAUGUGGGUGUAGGGGCCCAAGGACUUGGGCCAUCCUCUACUGCUUUCCCAGGCCACAGCAGAGAGCUGGAUUGGAAGAGGAGCUGCUGGGACUAGAACUGGUGCCCAUAUGGGAUGCCGGCGCAGCAGGCAGAGGAUUAACCUACUGCGCUAUGGUACCAGCCCCAAAAACAACUUUUUAAAAAUGAAACUGCCCCAGGGCUGGUUUUGUGGUACAGUAGGUUAAACUGUUCCUUGUGAUGCUGACCUCCCAUAUCAGAACACUGGUUCAAGAGCUGAUCUUCCAAUCACGCUCCAUACUAGUGCACCUGGGAAGGCAGAAGUUAAUGGCCUUGGGCCCUGCCACCCAUAUGGGAGAUCCAGUUGGAGUUCUAGGUUCCUGGCUUCAUUGCAGCCAUUAGGGGAGUGAACCAGCAGAUGGAAGAUCCACCUCUCUCUGUCUCUCUCUCUCUCCCUCUCUAUGUUUCUUCCUGUCUCUGUUACUCUGUCUCUUAAAUAAAUAAAUCUUUUUUAAAAAUAAAAUUGUUCCU